rnacentral:rRNA from 1 species
GAGACACGCUGGCGGCGUGCCUAACACAUGCAAGUCGAACGGACUGCGAGGAGCUUGCUCCUCAAAGUUAGUGGCGGACGGGUGAGUAACGCGUGAGUAACCUGCCUUACAGAGGGGGAUAACGUUUGGAAACGAACGCUAAAUACCGCAUAAUGUAUCUGAUAUCGCAUGGUAUUGAUACCAAAGAUUUUAUCGCUGUAAGAUGGACUCGCGUCUGAUUAGAUAGUUGGCGGGUAACGGCCCACCAAGUCGACGAUCAGUAGCCGGACUGAGAGGUUGAACGGCCACAUUGGGACUGAGACACGGCCCAGACUCCUACGGGAGGCAGCAGUGAGGGAUAUUGCACAAUGGGCGCAAGCCUGAUGCAGCAACGCCGCGUGAGGGAUGACGGUUUUCGGAUUGUAAACCUCUGUCUUUGGUGAAGAUAAUGACAUUAGCCAAGGAGGAAGCCACGGCUAACUACGUG